CGGACGGGUGAGUAACGCGUGAGAAUCUGCCUUUAGGUCCGGGACAACCACUGGGAACGGUGGCUAAUACCGGAUGUGCCGCAACGUGAAAGGGGAAACCCGCCUGAAGAUGAGCUCGCGUCUGAUUAGCUAGUUGGUGAGGUAAAGGCUCACCAAGGCGACGAUCAGUAGCUGGUCUGAGAGGAUGACCAGCCACACUGGGACUGAGACACGGCCCAGACUCCUACGGGAGGCAGCAGUGGGGAAUUUUCCGCAAUGGGCGAAAGCCUGACGGAGCAAGACCGCGUGAGGGAAGAAGGCUCUUGGGUCGUAAACCUCUUUUGUCAGGGAAGAACACAAUGACGGUACCUGACGAAUCAGCCUCGGCUAACUCCGUGCCAGCAGCCGCGGUAAUACGGAGGAGGCAAGCGUUAUCCGGAAUUAUUGGGCGUAAAGCGUCCGUAGGUGGCUAGUCAAGUCUGCGGUCAAAGACUGGGGCUUAACCCUGGAAAGGCCGUGGAAACUGACGAGCUAGAGUGCAGUAGGGGUAGAGGGAAUUCCCGGUGUAGCGGUGAAAUGCGUAGAGCUCGGGAAGAACAUCGGUGGCGAAAGCGCUCUACUGGACUGCAACUGACACUCAGGGACGAAAGCUAGGGGAGCGAAUGGGAUUAGAUACCCCAGUAGUC
rnacentral:rRNA from 1 species